AGAAAUUUCCAAGUUCUCCACACACAGAUUUGCUUUUACAUCUUUGCUGUAACAAUGGAUUCCUCAGCUUUUACAUAAAGUCAGUUUUGUGCCUGAAAGACAUCGUGAGUUCGUGGAACACGCUUUACUACAUCCCACAAAUUCUUCCUGAAUUUCCUCCUAUCAAAAUGAAUCAAAAGCAGUUUUUUCCUCCCAGCUCUCAAUUGAUCUUGACACAGGUUUUGAGAAGUGGUUUACCCUGCUCGGCAAAGAACUUUCCAUCUAUUUGUGUGACCAGUUCUGCUUCUGUCUCUUCAUUUCUUCUAUGUCUCUACCAAUUUCAAUUCUUGGUCUGCAGGAAACUAUUCACAUUCAGACCAAGAAACUGCCUAGCCUAUCUUGUUUCCUUCAGUUUCCAUGUAUAGUCUUAUGCUUGAUUUAGGGAGUCAAGCAAUUGGGGGAAAAACUCUUUUCGGACUGAAGUGAAAUACUUUCACCCAUAACAAGCAGCUCUCAACUCGACUCCUUACCUUGAUGGAUAUGAAUGUGUUAUUUGUCACUGGAGAACCACAGUGUCACUUAAGAGCGGGCCCACAGGACUUGGAAAUUGCUUGGACAUUGAAAGUGGAGGAGAUACAGCAGCGUUCUUCAACUUUGAAAACUUGGAUAUAAAGGGCUGGAUAAACAGAACACCGGAUGAUCCUUUGGUCAGGCCGAACUCUGGGGUUGACAUCCAUCUCUAACAGGGACAAAGAAAGAGCCCACCAAUCAGUCAAGUAUUUACUGAGCUCUUGCCUUACGCCAGGCUAUCGGGAGCAAAACAAUAACAUCCAAGGACAAAACAAUCUCUACUUGCAAAGAACUUGCAUUCCAAUAGUGAAGAAAACACAUGUGACUGCACAGAAUGGGCAUUAAUUCAAUGCAAGAUAAUUAAAAACAAGAUAGUUUGGAAGGGUGGGUGCUAACUGUGUGUGGGGAGAGAGGGGAACCUGCAAAGACUUCCUGCAGAAAGUGGUGCUUUA